rnacentral:rRNA from 1 species
AGUGAACGCUGGCGGUAGGCCUAACACAUGCAAGUCGAACGAGUGGCGGACGGGUGAGGAAUACAUCGGAAUCUACUCUGUCGUGGGGGAUAACGUCGGGAAACUUACGCUAAUACCGCAUACGAUUGAAUGUGCCGAUGUCGGAUUAGCUAGUUGGCGGGGUAACGGCCCACCAAGGCGACGAUCCGUAGCUGGUCUGAGAGGAUGAUCAGCCACACUGGAACUGAGACACGGUCCAGACUACUACGGGAGGCAGCAGUGGGGAAUAUUGGACAAUGGGCGCAAGCCUGAUCCAGCCAUACCGCGUGGGUGAAGAAGGCCUUCGGGUUGUAAAGCACUUUUGUUGGGGAAGCGGUACCCAAAGAAGAAGCACCGGCUAACUUCGUGCCAGCAGCCGCGGUAAUAC